UUACAUUCAGACUAUACUGUAUAUUAUGUGGAACGAUUACUGAAGAAACAGGCAUCAUCAAAUGCCCAGGCCUUCUAAAUAUGGGCAGAAAAAAUGAUCUAAAAUAAAAUAACUACUUUACCAGAAAUGCAGUAUGACAUUAUGUUAAGGUGGAAAUAUAGCUAAUUUAAUAAAUUCAAAGCAAAUUUAAUUACUUUGCUUUUUAAUAUAUUUACUUUCUCUUUGCGGUGCCAAGCUUUAGUGCCAAGGGUUAAGUAAAGCUAGCCGUACCUAACAGCCGCACCUUAGCCGUACCUUAGCCGUACUUAAGAAAAUUCGUAAUUAGCAGCUCUGUGUGAAUAUCUAUGCCGAUAAAAAUGAUGCAAAAUGGAGCACUCCAUCGUCGAGCCCCAGUAACCCCCAGGGAAUCCUCAAUGAUGAAAUACCGAUAAUAAUAUAUCUUACAUGUAUUAUAAUUUUUAUAAAAUGAUUUUAAUACAAAUACAAAAGAGAUUUUUAAAA